rnacentral:rRNA from 1 species
CACGUAGGGCGCAAGCGUUGUCCGGAAUUAUUGGGCGUAAAGCGUUAAAAGGCGGUUUGGAAAGUAUUCGGUCAAAUCUCAUGGCUCAACCGUGAGGCUGCCGAGUAAACUCCCAGACUUGAGGUCGGAAGAGGCGAGUGGAAUUCCUGGUGUAGCGGUGAAAUGCGCAGAUAUCAGGAGGAACACCAAUUGCGAAGGCAGCUCGCUGGGACGUUACUGACGCUGAGACGCGAAAGCGUGGGGAGCAAACAGG